GUUUGUUAAUAAACUGUCUUUAUUCCUUUUAAGUUUUAAGCCUGUUUUGCUCUUGUUUUAAUCCAUAUCUCACAACAAGAAAUAAGUAAUUUCUUUAGUUACUGGUUUAAAACCACGACACAUAUCAAAAUUAAGUUAGCAAAAUUUCUUAAAAAUGUUCUGAACUAAACACAAAAUUAUCACUAUUUAAACAGCUUACUGACUUUAUUGUACACUAUUUUAAUUUACUCUUACCUCAGGUCCAUGCAACAAAUGAAACAUUUUGGGGAAGGGAAAAGAGAAAUGCUGGAUCAAAGAAGAGUCAAUUACAGACAUGCAUUGUUAUUGAGCAAAAACAAGUCGUAAUAAGCUCUGGCAGACUUGGUGUCUGGAGCGGGAAUCAUGAAGGAAAACUGGGAAUGCAAGAGCCACUCACAUGCUACUGGAAAACAGAAGGCCACGAGCAGCAAGAGGUAUCUUUAGAAGAACCGAACCCUAAACUAUUUCUUUCUCAUUACUAAUAAAAAUAAUACAAAAGAGGUGGACCAAAGAAGUUGAUCUAAUGAAAAAAAAAGUGGAAGAGAUGUGCAGUGUUAUUUGCCUCACCAUGAAAGGACAUGACAGUAAUAAUCAUUUCUCAUGCUGAAUUACAGGAGGCACAAGAUUGA
ensembl:lncRNA